rnacentral:rRNA from 1 species
GAUGGACGCUAGCUACAGGCUUAACACAUGCAAGUCGAGGGGAAACGAUAGGGAAAGCUUGCUUUUUCUAGGCGUCGACCGGCGCGCGGGUGAGUAACGCGUAUCCAACCUGCCCAUCACUUGGGGAUAACCUUGCGAAAGUAAGACUAAUACCCAAUGACGUCUCUAGAAGACAUCUGAAGGAGAUUAAAGAUUUAUCGGUGAUGGAUGGGGAUGCGUCUGAUUAGCUUGUUGGCGGGGUAACGGCCCACCAAGGCGACGAUCAGUAGGGGUUCUGAGAGGAAGGUCCCCCACAUUGGAACUGAGACACGGUCCAAACUCCUACGGGAGGCAGCAGUGAGGAAUAUUGGUCAAUGGACGAGAGUCUGAACCAGCCAAGUAGCGUGUAGGAUGACGGCCCUAUGGGUUGUAAACUGCUUUUAUAAGGGAAUAAAGUGAGCCUCGUGAGGCUUUUUGCAUGUACUUUAUGAAUAAGGACCGGCUAAUUCCGUGCCAGCCGCCGCAGUAA